rnacentral:lncRNA from 1 species
GUGCAAUAUAAAAUUCUACUCGGGACAAUAUUCCCCAAUAUUCAUGCAAUAACCCUAUAUUAUAACAUUACUGCAGAUCAACAUAAAAUCAGAACAUUGAAUGUUUAUAGUUCUUAUACAAUAUCAAUACACAAGGUGACAUGACAUGCCUGAUGAUAAUUAACACUUGCAAAUAUUCACUCAUCGUUCAUAUAAAAUCAUCAGCUUUGACAAUUAAACAUACUACUAUAAUGUCAAGAUCAUAUAACACUAUUUCAAUUAACCAAAUAGAUAUAUGUAAAUCCAUAUUCUACAAAUAACCAUAGCAUAUAUAUAUCAACGGUAGAUAACUCUAUAUUAUAUCAAAUGUUCUUCACUGUCUUACAUGAACACUAUAUAUUAUGCUAUUUCAAGUAUACAUAAACUCACCAGUCUGUGGAACUGAGUUUAAUAACUAACAUCGACAGUCUAACUAAUACUAACAGUAACGAUCUUCAUACUUCUACAGUAAUGGUAACAGAGGUUCACAUCAAAUAUGGUUCUGUAAACAAUGUAUGACAAUAAUAAGUAAUCUGACUUUAAUAUCUUAAAGGCAU